UAUUAUGUGCUGACUGAAACCAUUGAAAUUUUUAUACUCUGAAGAAAUGUGCUCGGUACUAGUUAGGGACAAAUUGUUUUUAUUACCCUAGAAACCCGAUUCCAGACUAAUGGCAGGAUAUUGAACACAUCAGUGUCUCUUGUUUUUAACUGGAUAAUGUAAAAAAACCCCAAGAAUAGAAUAUGAUAUAAAAAUAUAAGCUUGUUUUCAAAGUUAGUGUUUUAAUUUGAAAAAAAUCUGCCUUUUUUUUUUUUUAUGGCAAACUUUUCAAUACUGAAAAUUUUGUUUGAGCCAUCUUUUCCAUAGGGAUUUUUCAUUUGUACUUACAAUUUUGUGAAAAAUGUUGAUUUUAUCAAAAUAGUAUUUUCUGGUUGAAGACUGUUUCAAUUAAAGUUUUCUCACUAGUGUGAGCUGUUAUAACACUCUCCUCCUCCACCCUCUGAGCUGUGGUAAAAGGGUGAGUGAAGUUAUUGAUUUAUCUUUCCUUAUAUUUUAUUUUAGUGCAAUGACUUCAAGAGCUUCAUAGCUGUUCUGCAGACAGAUGCACAAUUGUGAAGCAUCAAUAUGGACUGCAAAUCUCUACUCCAAGGCAACCAGGGUUAAUGGAUACCAAGGUGUAGCUAGAAUUUUAAGGAUGCAAAUAACCUGAAUAAACUCCUUUACUGCAAACACGAGACCGACAUGGACUGAGGACACAAGUAUCUCUGUGAACAAGAACUGCUGGAUGGGACUCUCUAAAGAACUUAGUUGUCUCUCCAGGAGAGAGUCUCCUCUCUGACUGUGUAUUAGAUUUAUCUUACUUCCCCCUGAGGCUAAAGGAUUUGAGAUCAUUAGAGAGAUAGCAGGUAUUGGAGUGGUCACCCACCAGUAUUGUAGCUCAGUCAUCCUGAGGACCGCUCUCAAGAAUGAUUUAUCCAAGAGGUCUGCAGAACAAAUAGACUUUUAUGCCUUGCAGCUGCUCUACAUGUGUUUGUUGACAGCUCUGGCACUUCAGUGAGUAAGUCAGUCCUGAGUUUUAGGCUGUGUCACCCAGACUGAAGAGUUUUGUAUCUCUUUGCUGACAUGGACUGUGUGGAGGUACAGAUACAAGAACCUGUUCUGUGAGGCUGGUUUACAUUUGAUAAUUAUUAUGACUUUCUCUUUUUAACUUGGUCUUCUAGUUUAUGGUGGAGAUAGAGCUGAGGGUCCUCACUGAUGAGCGGAGGAUUGUCUUACCAGACCUCAGACUAUGGUCAGACCUCUUUAAAAUUUCUCUCUAUGUAUAUCAGUCUCAUUCUGUGUGAGUUACUAAGUACCAUCUUUGCAGCGCCUCAGCUUUAUUUGACGAUCCAAGUUUCCUGUGACCUUUUGAGGAUAAUGUUUGCAGGUUAAAUGUGCUGAAUAAGGACAAAUGAGAAAUGCAGAAGAAGUGAAAAUGGGUUUUAAAGAAGAUCAUCUUCUGUCA